rnacentral:lncRNA from 1 species
UUAUUGUAAGUUAGUUUCACAAUCCAAUUUCAUUAACUUAAUACUAAUGUGUCAUUGAUAAGAUGACAAUCAUUAAAAGAGAUUAUAAUUUUUAUAUCAACGGCAUAUUAAUAUUUAGUCAACUAAAUUGGAUUGUGAGAUAUAAUUAUGGCAACUUAAUAAAGUUCGAGCCAAAAAUUAUAACGAAUUAAAAUUUGAGCACCAAAAUAUUAUGCGUGUUAUAGUUUGAGGACCUGAAGUAUGAUCUAGCCUAUA